rnacentral:ncRNA from 1 species
ACUAUGACUCUCUUAUACCAAAGAGCCACCACUGCCUUUGGAGGGUCACAAUAGCGGCGCGAAAGCGAAUGAUAUAACCGCUAGUGCGUCCGUCGCCAGCCCCCCUGUUUGUGGAUCACAUAAUGCUGUGGACGGACACGCGACACCAUCAAAUUGCGGGGACACCCUGAGAGCCUUGUCUACCAAGUCGCCUGCGGAAACGCACUGGCGAUGGCCGAGUUAAUCGCCCUGGGUACGGUAACAACGACAAGGAUGCAUGGGCAAUCCGCAGCCAAGUCCUACGUCGGACCGCGCACGUUCGAUAUGGAUGCUGUUCAUCGACUAAAUGGUGGUGGGUGAUCGCGCGCGUAUGCGAUUGCUUAAGAUAUAGUCAGGCCCUGGCGAGAGCCAGCUGCAUGUAUAAGAGGGGGACGCCGGGGGGACGUUCGACUCGAAGCUUGCAGGAGGGCGCUGUUUACUUGUCGUAGCAGCGUCUUUGGAAGGCGCUUCAGUAUUUAGGAAUGAAGCCGUCAGUUAAGCGCCAGAAUAAAAGAUGUUGGGGUCGUUGAACAUGUCAGUUGGCACGAGGUCCGACAUACAAACGCACCCAACGCAGCGCUUUCUGACGACGGACUCCGCGACACUGAUCCAACGCGCACACACACUG